GCAGUAGCCGCGGUAAUACAGAGGGUGCGAGCGUUAAUCGGAUUUACUGGGCGUAAAGCGUGCGUAGGCGGCUUCUUAAGUCGGAUGUGAAAUCCCUGAGCUUAACUUAGGAAUUGCAUUCGAUACUGGGAAGCUAGAGUAUGGGAGAGGAUGGUAGAAUUCCAGGUGUAGCGGUGAAAUGCGUAGAGAUCUGGAGGAAUACCGAUGGCGAAGGCAGCCAUCUGGCCUAAUACUGACGCUGAGGUACGAAAGCAUGGGGAGCAAACAGGAUUAGAUACCCCAGUAGUCCCUGUCUCUUAUAA
rnacentral:rRNA from 1 species